GUCCAGGGUAGCCUAGUGGUCAUGGUCAUCUGCCCGGUAAGCGGAAGGUCGUGGGUUCGAUUCCCAUCCCUUGACA